GAUGAAGAACGUAGCGAAAUGCGAUAAGUAGUGUGAAUUGCAGAAUUCAGUGAAUCAUCGAAUCUUUGAACGCACAUUGCGCCCCUUGGUAUUCCAUGGGGCCUGCCUGUUCGAGCGUCAUUUGUACCUUCAAGCUUUGCUUGGUGUUGGGUGUUUGUCCAUUCUCUUGCAGAGGGACUCGCCUUAAAGUAAUUGGCAGCCAGUGUUUUGGUUUUGAAGCGCAGCACAAGUCGCGAUUCAACGCUAUACGCCAGCUUCCACAAGCCUUUUUCACUUUUGACCUCGGAUCAGGUAGGGAUACCCGCUGAACUUAAGCAUAUCAAUAAGCGGAGGA
rnacentral:misc_RNA from 1 species